GCAGAGUUGGCUGAGUGGUCUAAGGCGCACGACUGGAAAUCGUGUGAGGGCUGAUACCCCUCCCUGGGUUCAAAUCCCAGACUCUGCGCCA
rnacentral:tRNA from 1 species